CUUAGCUCAGUUGGUAGAGCAACUGACUCUUAAUCAGUGGGUCCAGGGUUCGAACCCCUG
rnacentral:tRNA from 3 species